AGGAAAUCGAUGAGGAAUCGACCGCCCGCCGUCGGCUGCAGGCAGUGUUGGUUGCAGUUCUGCCCCCGCCUGCGAUGCACGCAGUCGCAAUCUGUACGGUUCUGGUCCCCUCGCUCGUAGGAGUAGUAGGUGGUGGAAGCGGACGAGAAUAGACGAAAGGAACAGACACGCGAGACAGACAGACGGCGAGUGUGAAGGUAGCCUAAGAGCGCCGUCGCGCUCGCUCACGUACGGACGUACUGCGAUGCUGUGUACGCGUACGUCGUGCACCAGGAAGUGUCGUUGUCACCUGGUCACCCUCGCCCUUGCCGACUGAACUCUCGUGCCGCGGGCCAGCAUGCCAUCUUCGUCCAGUGACAUCCUCGCCUUGGCCAGAGAGGAGGCAUUCAAGGAUUUCUCCUAUUUCGACGAGGAGACUGUGCCCGUGAAUACCAGCAAGCCGAUCCCGCUACAACCGCUGAAACCGACCUCCGCCAUUAUUAUCACCGGAUACAUUCCUGAAAACGCAUCGAGGUUUGCGGUGAAUUUAACAUGCAAAACGUCCGGGAACAUCGCCCUGCAUUUCAACCCGCGACUCGACAGGGGAUAUAUCGUCAGGAACACGAAAGUACGUGGUUCCUGGGACGAGGAAGAGACCUGCUCGCCCGCCAGUCCGAGCGGAUGCAUAUUCCGCCGGAACACCUACGUGCAUAUCACAAUCUUCUGCACGAACAAUGCGUUUCAGAUCGCGGUGAAUGGAGAGCAUUUCUGCGCUUUCUCAUAUAGGAUAUCUCUCGAAGAGAUAAUGGCCCUCGAAGUUACUGGGACUAUCGAGGAUGUCAGGACCCGUCAGCUGAAUAUAUUUGUGUAUCCUGAUCCUUCCAUAUGCAGACCUUGCCGAACAUUGGUCCUGACAGUCGAGGAACCACUCGUGGAUUUUCUAGACGUCCCCAUUACUGUGGACAUCGGCAGCGAGUUUCGUGUCGGUUCUCGUUUAUUUAUCACCGGAAGAUUGAAGCUACUUCCACACUCGUUCUACGUGAAUUUGCAGAAGGGCAAAACCAUUUAUCCUCAUCCUGUAAUACCGCUGCAUUUAAACCCGCGCUUUCUUUACGGGAAUAGCGCGCCGUACGUUGUCAUGAAUUGCUGGACCAAUGGUGCGUGGGAACACGAAGAGCGACAUCCAGGACACUUAUCUUGGAUGCCUGGUCGAGACUUCCUGCUUACCAUUCGCUGUGAGUACGAAGGAUACACGAUAUGGCUGGGCAACAAGAUGAUCGGCGAGUUUAAGCAUAGACUGCAAUCGUCAAUCACGGACACUCUGCGAAUUUCUGGCGACAUCGUAUUGUACCAACUCAGCAUGAGCUACGCUUGAUGGGAGUCGAUCAAACAGCACGCAUAACACAGCAAUCAAAUAUGACAAUAUAAUUGCGGAUGGGAGAUCGUCUAUCGAUAAUCGUACAGACGUCGACCUCGCGAUAGAAUUGUGCUUACAAAUACAAGGGAAUACGGUUCUUCAACAUUUCCAACAGAUGGAAACUUUCUAAAGCUGCCACAGUCACAAUAAUGGUGAUCCGGAGGAUGCACAGACGCUUCUAUCACUUUUAUGACGAUGGGCCCACACAAAUCACAAGCAUAAGGGCCGAUUGUUCCAACUUCUUAAUAAGCUACCUAAUAAUUAAAUCAUGUAUCCGUCUCUGUCCAGUUUGAAGAAGAAACGAAGACAGACAUAUGAUUUAACUGUCAGGUAGAGCUUACCAAAAAGUUGGAACAAUCGGCCCUAAGAGAGGAGGAGACGGAGGAGGAGGAGGAUUGUCCUUUCGGCAUAAUAGAAAGAUCAUAUCAACCUCGUGUUUUUCUUGCUUUAAACGCCAGCGUGAAUUGUUAUACGACCAGUAGUGGUAAAUUUUUCUAUGCGUAUUUGUUUUUUUCUCUUGUUAUAUUCAAACGAUUUAUCUAAGACUGUUAGACCAAUUAUAUGUGUAAUCGUAUGAAGGCUCUUCCAGCCAGAAAUAAUCCGCCGAAAUGUCAUUUCGACGUCGUUAAUGUCUGAAAUGAUUGAUUCCAUAUAUACGUAAUCUUUUGUUGUUCAAAAAUUUCAAAAUUUCGACGCAAAUUUCAAAUUCACUAUCUUCGAUAUUAAUGAUAUCGAAACAACGUUGUUUUGACAUAUCGCUUUUGGCUGAAAUGCGAAAAGUAACGAAGUGUGCAAAUUGCGCGGGCGAUUUUGCAAGAUAUUAGGAACCAAUUUUGAGGAGCAUGUAAAGAGUCACUUUUGAUACGACCUUUUGUAUAGUAGUGUAUCAUAAAUGUACUUUAAUCGUGUUUGUUUAUGAGAUGUAUACGAACAAAGAAGUGAUCGCGAGUCAAUAUAUUCUCGAUACGAUGCUGAGAUGUUCUUGCAUAGAGAUACUUUCGUCGGUAAUCAGGACCGUGUUUAUUAUUUCCGGGACCCUCACGAUAAAUAAGUGUUGUACUGACUAAUAAAUUUCGUGCGACAAAACAAGACUUCAAUGUCCAGAUAGCCAAAGAUGAUUAAGCAUUUUGAAUAAACUAAUGCACAGCAGGUAUUGUUAAAUGUUUGCUGUAUAUUUGUUAACACAACGUUUUCCGAACGGCAUCUCUGAGCGUUAUUUCGGGAGAAGAGAGUGUCGUGAGCGUGGAGAGUCAGAUAGCUCAGUAGUUUAGAGCAGUCGCCCGGCAAGCGAAAGACUCGGGUUCUCGAGUCCCGGCCUAGCGAAACUGCGCUUUCGAUAUUUUUCUCUCUCUGAAACGUUUUGUCAGCACGUUGUCAUGACAAAAAAUUUUUAACGGAUUACAAAUCUAUGUUGCUAUUAAUUUGCCGUUAUUUGAAUUAGAAUUCACAUGAGUUCAAUGCGACACACACAAUGCUGUCAUUUUGUUCCUAAUUUGUUUAAAUUAGUUCCUGUUUGUUGUCGACAGCACGACAGCAAACUCACAGACAGUUGGCUAUCUGGAUGUAUAUUCGUGAAAAUAUAUCCUUGCUCUUUCUUGUAUAUCGACCGAUCGUGCGUGAUCUAUAUCUGUUUUCUUUGAACCGAUACAACUGGAAAUUCCGUAGUCGUUCUAAUAACACAGGACCUGGCAACACCUUUGCCAGGAUACUAAGAUAACACCAAACGUGCCCGAAAUUAAAUACCGCCCGACCGAAAACAUGUUUGUAUAUGUAUACUUUGCAUUUGUAUAUUCUACGAGAGUUAUUUAUUUAUAUGAGAAUAAAACGGUAUCGGACAAUAAGUUGCGAUUUAUUUGCGUAUGUAUGUAGUAUAUAUUAGAUUGUCGAUGUACCGGAGCAAUUAAAAAAAAAGAAGAGUGGGGGAAGAGAGAGAGAGAGAAAGAAAAAAGAAAUUCGUCUAACAAACUAACUUAUGCACACUAUUGCCAUUGUUGCUAGAAUUAAGCAAAACAGCACGAAAGCGAUGCGAUCGACGGCCGUGCCUGCUAGAAUCCAUUCCAAUUGCGUGAUGUUCUUCGUCGGCGAGAUCAUAUUCUGUCGAUCACCGUCGUCCGAGAUGUUGGACGUCGAGUUGGUCGUGGAUUCCUCCGUGAGUUUGCCCCGCAAUUCCUGACCUGGUAUAGGCCGCCGCGACUCGAUCUGAAAAAUGAUCAAUAACGCCACCGAAUUAUAACGAUUGUCUCGUUUCUGUAAACGCGCAACGUCUUAACUCCGUAAUGACAAAAUUAUAAAAGUAAAACAAAAUGUGUUGAGUGAAAAAAGAAUUAUAAAAUCGCAGGAAUAAUAUUGCUGAGGUGCAAAUCACAUAAAAGUGCAUAUUCCAAGAUAUAUCCUUAACACUAGAAUGCGAGAAGGACAAUACUAGUUGGAUGUCCGAAAAAAUUAUUUUAACUCCUUGCGAUUUUAAAACUCUUUUUGUUCCUCAUUACUCGUGUCAAUCAUAAUUUCUAAACAUGCUAAAAACAUAAUUUGCAAAAUAUACACAUUUUAUGUAUUGUAAACAAAUUAUAACAAAUUAUAAUUAAA